UGUUUCGGCUAGGGGGUCAUCCCGACUUACCAACCCGAUGCAAACUACGAAUACCGAAGAAUGUUAUCACGGGAGACACACGGCGGGUGCUAACGUCCGUCGUGAAGAGGGAAACAACCCAGACCGCCAGCUAAGGUCCCAAAGUCACAGUUAAGUGGGAAACGAUGUGGGAAGGCACAGACAGCCAGGAUGUUGGCUUAGAAGCAGCCAUCAUUUAAAGAAAGCGUAAUAGCUCACUGGUCGAGUCGGCCUGCGCGGAAGAUGUAACGGGGCUAAACUGUGCACCGAAGCUGCGGCAGCGACACUA
rnacentral:rRNA from 1 species